CGACCCCAGGUCAGGCGGGAUC
rnacentral:rRNA from 3 species